GCUGGUCUGGGAACCGAUCUUGUAGUAGGCAAGUGAUGGGGUGACGCAGGAGGGUAGCUCUACCCGGCGGUGGUUGUCCGGGGGUAAGCGUGUAGGCCGGUGUGUUGGUAAAUCCGCAUGCCGUGGGGCUGAGACGUGAUGCCGAGCCGUUUUUGGUGAAGUGAGUGAUCCCGUGCUGUCGAGAAAAGCCUCUAGCGAGUUCGUGUGUGGCCAGUACCCUAAACCGACGCAGGUGGUCAGGUAGAGAAUACCGAGGCGUUCGGGUGAACCAUGGUUAAGGAACUCGGCAAAUUGUCCCCGUAACUUUGGGAGAAGGGGAGCCCUGUCUGGUGAAGGAACAUGCUUCUGGAGCUGGGUGGGGUCGCAGAUAGCGGGGGGAAGCGACUGUUUAUUAAAAACACAGGUCCGUGCGAAGUCGUAAGACGCUGUAUACGGACUGACGCCUGCCCGGUGCUGGAACGUUAAGAGGACUGGUUAGUGGGGUUCGUCCCCGCGAAGCUGGGAAUCUAAGCGCCAGUAAACGGCGGUGGUAACUAUAACCAUCCUAAGGUAGCGAAAUUCCUUGUCGGGUAAGUUCCGACCUGCACGAAUGGCGUAACGACUUCCCCACUGUCUCAACCAUGGACCCGGUGAAAUUGCACUACGAGUAAAGAUGCUCGUUUCGCGCAGCAGGACGGAAAGACCCCGGGACCUUCACUAUAGCUUGACAUUGGUGUUUGGGAUGGUUUGUGUAGGAUAGGUGGGAGCUGUUGAUAUUGCCACGCCAGUGGUGAUGGAGGCGUUGGUGAAAUACCACUCUGACUGUUUCGGGCAUCUAACUUUGGACCGUGAUCCGGUUCGGGGACAGUGUCUGGUGGGUAGUUUAACUGGGGCGGUUGCCUCCUAAAGAGUAACGGAGGCGCCCAAAGGUUCCCUCAGCUUGGUUGGUAACCAGGUGUUGAGUGUAAGUGCACAAGGGAGCUUGACUGUGAGACGGACGUGUCGAGCAGGAGCGAAAGCUGGGACUAGUGAUCCGGCACCGGCGUGUGGAAGCGGUGUCGCUCAACGGCUAAAAGGUACCCCGGGGAUAACAGGCUGAUCUUCCCCAAGAGUCCGUAUCGACGGGAUGGUUUGGCACCUCGAUGUCGGCUCGUCGCAUCCUGGGGCUGGAGUUGGUCCCAAGGGUUGGGCUGUUCGCCCAUUAAAGCGGCACGCGAGCUGGGUUUAGAACGUCGUGAGACAGUUCGGUCCCUAUCCGCUGCGCGCGUUGGAGACUUGAGAAGGGCUGUCCCUAGUACGAGAGGACCGGGACGGACGUACCUCUGGUGUGCCAGUUGUUCUGCCAAGGGCAUGGCUGGUUUGCUACGUGCGGGAGAGAUAACCGCUGAAAGCAUCUAAGCGGGAAGCUUGCUUCGAGAUGAGGUCUCCUGCCUCCGUGAGAGGGUAAGACUCCCUGUAGAUGACGGGGUUGAUAGGCCGGGUGUGGAAGCCUUGUGAGGGGUGGAGCUGACCGGUACUAAUAGGUCGAGGGCUUGUCCG
rnacentral:rRNA from 1 species